GACAGCUUUGCAACAUUUGAUUUAUAUCCUGAAAAAGUAAACUGGAACACUCUGUGAAUACUUGAUAUAUCAAAAGCUUAAAUGUAAAAACAGCGGUGGGUAUAUAUUUCCAAGCUCAUCUAAUGGGUUUAUUUUGUAUGCUGCCAGCAGCCUAAACCACAUGGAAUCAGAAACUGGACAGUGAUCACAACACUGUCAAAGGUUUUAGUUUUUGCCAGAUGCUUAACAUCUGUGGGAAGAACAGUUGGAAUAGUAGUGAAGUUUUAAUUAGGGCAUUCUCAUUCUGGACUGCACAGGUGUGUUGAGGCUCAACUCCUCCAACUGAGGAAAAAACAUUUUUGUCAUAUCCAGUUCAUCAGCUACCUCUCCCAUUUUCCCUCAUCUGAGUUGUUUCUCUGCUGGACUCAAAUACUCAUCCCUUUGCACUCUACUAGCCAAACCCUCUUAAUAGCAGGCCAAUUUCCAAAUCCUUCUGCUCCUCCUCUCCUCCAUGGGGAACUCUGGUGGCAUUUUUUACACAGGGAUCACCCAUCUCAUCUUAGCCACAUGGCCUCAGCAGUCAUGUACCUCCUUUUCUUGAGUCUUGGUUUAAUUGUGAGGACUUCCUCCACCCCUUGCUCCUUUUGUGUUAAGUGACUCUGCCUGUGCUAUCCUGAGGGGGAAGAUUAAGGUGUUCUCCUGUACCUGUGAAGAGGUGAGAAUGCUCUUCUGACACUUUCUCUCCCUCUCCUGACCAAAACUAGAGUGUUUGCCUGGCAUGGCAUGGAGAGAACCACAUCCAUGGUAUUAUUUUAGACAGCUUUUUAGGACAGGGGGGUCCUUGUCUUUGUAAUUACUUUACAGCACCAAGCACAUGUUUGGUGCUAAACAAUAUACAUUAGCCCAUACUAGGGUUUUCUCCCUAAAUAAAGGAAGAGGUUCCAAGAGUGGUAAAUGGUAAGUAUGGUUGUCCGUUCAUAAGGAUAUUGAAGUGAGUCCUGGCUCAGAUCCAGUGUCAAACCUUCACCUCCUAACGUUGUGCACAAGGUGCAUGGACACUAAUAACCACAAAUCAUGGAGCUACCUACUGAAUAGAAGAAAUCUAGAACAGCAGCUUUGACCCCAGACAUGGCAAUUGAACUUCCAGACUAAAAUGUAUAAGAUGCAUCAAACAAAACCAUUAAUGGUAUGGUGAAGUCUUGUAGCAAAUUUUAAAAACUGCAUACGUGAUUGGAAACAGUAUUGUUAUGUGGUGAAUGGCUGCUUUCCUCAAUGGAAGGAUUAAUGGAGUCUUCACAGGGAGCCUGGUAUUAGGUCCAGUAUUGUUUCUAUUGUUGAACACAGCAUUUCUCAGUUACAACAAGAAAAGUUUCGGGGCACCCCUUCCACCAGCCAUAAGAAGGGUGUGUCAUGAUCCCUAGGUUUAGAAACCAUGGUUUGACAUAUUAAUUGAGCAUGAAGUUGUUAAAUUAUGAAAUGGAACUAGCACAAACAUGGUAGAAAAACUAACCUAGUAAGCACUUAACAGGAAGGAUUAAUACAUAUUAGGUGAUUGACUCCACAGGGUCUCAAGAUUCCUUUCCACACCAUGUUCAUAUGUUCCCAGCGUGUGUACCUUGGUAAAUGCAGCAGUCUGCCCUUUUUGAGAUAGGUGACAAUGUAAGUGUCUGUACAUCUGAGAACCAAGGCUAACCAGGUGGAUGAAAGGAAGCACUAAUGGAGCAAUACCUUGGAGUAAAAUAGUUGAGUUAAGGCUGGAUCAAAAAUCACUUACUGCAAUAAAACUUCAGUAUGGGAUAUCACCUUAAAAAGAAACAUCCUCUCUCUGUUGCAGGAUCAAACUUCUGAGCUCCAGCCCUUUCAGUAACAAGUUUAAUUUUCUUGGCAUACUGAUUGCUUUUUGCUGUUUUAACAUGACCCAUGGAAAUUAAUUAAGCUGUGAAACUUAACAAGAUGUGGUGUUAUCGGAUAUAAAAGGCUAGCAGGAUUGACUUCAUUCACUGUUGCUGUUCAUGUAAUUCACCAGAGAGAUGUAUCAAGAUUUUUUGCACAAUAGGGCUGGCACUUCAGGAACCCUGUUUCACAAAACACUCUCCCACUUGAAUGCAUUUUAAAGCAAGGGCCACAAAGCAUUUCUGCAACAUACGAUGAGUUUCUUCGGCACAUGGAGGACUGCUGAUCGCCAUAAUGAAACAUUCAAUAACUGCACUGAAUUGGAUGAACCCCGGUGGUCCCACUGGGAUCAAUUACAGAAUGCUAGCUGUUUGCAGCCAAGUGGGUGAGUAAGUGGUUAAUCAGGCAUGUACACUAAUAAUAGGAGACCUCUGUAUCCAAGGGCAUGUGGUGGACCUUGUCCCACUUGAACAGCUCUUCUAUUAAAGUGGUUGUAUUACAAUUAGACUUUUCCAAGCUUGUUUUCUCUUACAUCAAUAUCCAUUGUGUUUCUCUUGUCCUUUAAUGACCUUACAAUUGAUCUGUUUCCUCUUUGAUCAUGGUUAGCUGACCAGAGGGAGGUUGGCAUUCCGUCUCAGUCAGCUGCUUGUUUAUUUCAAUUGUUCAAUUUCCUUGGGCCAUUGUUACUAAUUUCCAUGGCUUUAGUUUAAAUUAGCAGAUCAGAGGCAAAAUUGCAUCUUAAAUCCUUAAUGAUAAUUAGGAGGAGGAGAAAAGAAACACUUCCCAUAUAAGCUGUAAAAACCAUUCUACAAACUGUGUUCCAAAAUAAUGGGUGAUUUUUUUUUUUUUCAACCAUCAUCAUAAAUUGCUGAAAUCAUUUAAGACUUGUUUGUGUUUUUGACGCAGGCAGCUGAAUUUCUUUUGCUGAUGUUUCUGGCUGAUGGAUUCUGUAUUUCCUGUAGAAAACCACAUUAAAAGACAGUUACAAAUUUGAUCAUGUGGUCAAUCACUCAAAGUAGGAAAUGCCACAGGUAAGUUAGCACGCUCAUGACCUUAACUCUGUCCCUGUGUGUAUAUUCAUGAUGAUAUUCGUUAUAAUUACAGAAUCACAUGCUGUUUCGCAAAUGUUAAAAUAUACCACUUUUUUUUCUACAACCUUAUAUACCUAUGUGUAGCAUGUUGUAUUAUCUUUUCAUUCUUUAUGUAUACUGAACACAAAUUUAAUUAUAGUAUGGUCCAGUAUAUUUUUAGUUACAAGCCUUUUAUUUGAAUUCUAGUCUCUGACUGUGGCCCUGAUUCAAUAGGGUACUUAAACACAUGCCUAACUUUAAUCACAUCAGUAGACCUAUUGACAUCAAGAAGUCAAAGGGAAUAUUCAUGUGCUGAAAUAGCUUGCUGAAUCAGGGUUGAUGUAGCUAAUUUAGCUACAUAUUUAAGCGGUGUAUUUUUCCCAGCAAAUUUUCACUGACUCUGGUGUGUGCUUAAUAUGCUCCACAUGUGUGUGGGGAAAAAACCUACAUGUUUUUAUGUUGUAUUUGGGAAACAUCGUGCGAUCAUGAUGGGCCAGAUUCUCAGAUAGGUUAAAUUAACAUAACUCAUUCGACUUCAGUGGAGCUCUUCCAAUAUACACUAGCUGAAGAUCUUUCCUACAGGUUGUAAAAAUAACUGAUUUUUGGCCUGACAACUCUCAGGCCAGCAGUGAUUUUUAUUUUUGAAAGUGAGAAGUGAAGAGACCAUAUGGGGAUAAUAAUACUUAUCUCCUUUGUAAAGUGAUUUGAGCUCUAUGGAUGAAAAGCACUAUGUAAGAAUGCUAAAUAAUAACAAUAUUAUUAUUUUGGGGCUCUGAAUAUUUAACACAUUUCUGUUCC